GACGAACGCUGGCGGCGUGCUUAACACAUGCAAGUCGAACGGAAAGGCCUGCUUUCCCUUGUGGAUUGCGGGUACUCGAGUGGCUAACGGGUGAGUAACACGCGAGUGAUCUGCCCCCAACUUAGGUAUAAGCCUGGGAAACUGGGUCUAAUUCCCGAUAGGACUGCAGGGUGGUGCCUGUGGUGGAAAACGAUUUUCUAGUGGUUGGUGAUGAGCUCGCGGCCUAUCAGCUUGUUGGUGGGGUAAUGGCCUACCAAGGCGGGGACGCGUAGCCGGACUGAGAGCGUGGACAGCCACAUUGAGACUGGGAUCCGGCCCAGACGCGUGCGGGAGGCAGCAGAGGGGAAUAAUGGGGAAUGAGCGGGAGGGUGAUGCGGCGACGGCGCGAGGGAGGUGACGGCAUUGGGGUUGUAAGCUCCUUGCGAAGAAGAGGAGGGUACCUGGUUGGGAGGGUGGUGACGGUAGUGGUAGAAGAAGCACCGGCUAACUACGUG
rnacentral:rRNA from 1 species